ACUGUCGAGGAUGGGUGGCAGUGGGGGGACACACAUGAGAGCCAGUGAGGGACACCUUGGUGCUCAGAGAGGUGGAAGGAGGCUUGGAGAGGCUCUGCCCCCGAUUCCCACUCACUCCUUUGCUCCAUCCUGCCGGUUCCCUGGAGGUAAGGUAUGCCCACCACCUCCGCCCCAGCAGGCAGCACUGGCGUCCUUCCACCCAGACCUUCAGUGGCUUCAUGCGGUCGACUUUGGACUUCCAGCCAGGACAGACCUCUGCUGGGUUUGGGGAGGCUUAGGGUUUGCUGAACACUGAAGCUUCUCCCUGCACAGGGACACAGACAGAGGCUGAGAACUGCCAUCGUCAGAGCUCCCAGCUCUGCACUCCAAGUGCUGCCCCAGAUUUGAGCCUCGGGGCUCAUAGAGGUGAUCUUAUUUGGAAAAAGAAAAGUUAGGUAUCUGCAUGUUGAGGACCUUGGGAUGACAUCACUUUAUAUUAUCUGGGUGAGCCCUGAAUCUGAAGACAAGCAUCACCGUGACAGAAGGUGGAAGGAGAUCUGAGGAGAGCCCAUGUGGAGAGCCAGGGGUGACGGGGCUGAAGGGGCAGGAGGACCCCAGGGACACCCUGGGGUGUCAGAGGGAGCUGCCCUGCGGGCACCCUGGUGUUAGGUUUCUUUGGAAGCGUGAGAGAACACAUUUCCUCUGCUGGCCCUGUCCAGGUGUAGGCCCGAAGUCUAUGCCGAGGGCUCAGGCUGGAGAGUGGCACUAAGGUCUCUAGUUCCUUUGCUUCUCCAGUCACAGCAUGGUCUUCCUGAGAGGGGACCCAACUCCAGCCUCUGUUCCUAGCACCAAAAGCCUAGCCGUGCUCCACUCCCACUCCUUCAAGUCCAGUAAAGGACUUUCUCUGCGCUGGUCAAACACCAAGACUGGCUGGGAGGUGUGCUGUGCACUCCGACCCGUUCCUUUCCAUGAAGGGACACAGGGUGGCAUUGAGCUCAAGGCUCAGCCCUGGGAGGGCUUCCUCUGUGCCCUCAUCUGUGGGCAGCAUGCAGGGUGGUGUCCAGGAUUCCCUGGACACCUGGAAGGUUCUGGGGGGGUCCUGUCAUGAGGGCACAUGGCUGGCAGGUGCCAGGUGGGCGGCAGGGAGCGGGGAGGUGGGAGCUCCAGGGGUGCCCGGAUUGGAUCACAGAGCUGCCUUCUGCUCGGCUCUGGCUCUCACUCAGGCUCUGGCUCAGGCAGGGCAGGUGCUGAUUGAGAUCCUUGUUCCACCCUGUGCUGUGGGGCCCAUACACAAGGAAGCUGAGGUGGGUGAGUUAGGGAACCCCGCUCGGUGGACAGGGCUAGAGCUCCAGCAGACCCUUGAAGCUGCUCCUGCUGCAUCCAGCACCCAGUUGCCGGACGAUGGCAGCUGGGCAGGGCAGGUGGGGCAGUUCUGGGGUGAAGGAGGCCCACACCUGUGAUAAUGCACCCCAUAACGCUGGCUCCUCCUAAGUAUAAUGGGGCAGCUGAGUUCACGAGGGCAGAAGCUGAGCCAGGACCUGCUGGGCAAGUCUGGGCCAUGGCCUGGAGCAGAAGAUGGGAACAGAGAUGCGUGGAGCCUCGGAGGGAAAAGCCGCUAGGCAGGAAUCUGAGUGGUGUGACCAUCCGCAUUAGUUGUCAGCUGAACCAGGCCACGGUCCCCAGGCCUUAUCAAACAUGCCUGUGGGUGCCCCUGGGACAAACUUCUCCAGCUGGCUGGCCUUACGUACAGGAGACCAUCCUUGAAACUGUGAGUGCCAGCGAGUUGGGAGGCCCUGGGAGCAGAGCUAGGCCUCUCGGGGAGCAGGAGUUUGCCCCCUGUGGACUGCCAGGACUUGAGACCUGCCUAGCUGCCCUGCGAGCUCAGUGGUCAUACUGUGUGUCCCCCACAGCUUCUGC
rnacentral:lncRNA from 1 species